AUUAAUGAAACUGUCUACACUGAAUGUGGUGUGGUGUGACAGGACACCAGCAGUAAACUGAUGGGCCACGGUCUAUUUCUGAUGUACUCCAUGAGCUUGUGCUACUUCUGACAACAGUACAAAUGGAUUCAGAACAUUUGCUUUGAUGCGUUCAGCGUAGAGAGCCUCAAACUGUUGUGGUGAAUAUGACAGCGGUCACACCCCAGUGUAGACAAGGUGCUAGAUCUUUACUAAAUAUGAUAAUGUACCACCAAUCUGUUUUUGCUUUGUCAUUAUGGAGUAUGGAGUGUAGGUUGAUGAGAAAAAAUAUUAAAGCAUUUAAAAAACAAAACAAAAAAACAUGCAGCACUUUCUGAAAUCAGUACUGCCCUCUGUUAGCAGUUUCACAGCAAAACACAAAUGUUUUCACAAGAAUCACAUUCUCUUUUCACAUAUACUUCCUGAUUAUUGUCACUCGUAACACGUGAAAAUGUCCGUGUGUGAUUGGUUGACUAAGAGCACUUCAGUGUUACGUUUAUAUUAAGAGCAUUGAAAAAGUUGUUCUCCCAGCCUAUGAAGUGAAUGCACAUUCAGCAUGCGGUGGAGGUGUGGUAUCUGCUGUCAUAGUAGCAGUAUAUGAGGGAAUUCAUGAUUUGGCAAACUACAGUCAACAACUCAAGGAGGAAUACACAGAGAUCACAAGAACAACAGGUAAAAAGGGAAAGUCAGACAACCAGAAGACCAGAACCAUCCUGAAGAGGAAUGCACCUGUUUACAUAACCGGGCAUACUGUAUUACUAUGAGUUGCUGGAGGAGGCCUGGUUGUAUGUAAUAUGGUGGUGCGUUUUUAUUGAUGUAGCCUAAAUUUGCUUAAUCUAAUAAAUCAGACUGCAUUGUGUUUGUGUUGUGUGUAUAUCAUAAAACAUAAUAAAAAUAAAAUGAUCAAA